UUUUUUUCAGACCGAUGCACUAGACGAAGAACAAGUUAAACUUCUAAAAAGAGCGUUCUCCAUGUUCGAUUCAACCAAGAAGGGCAACAUAGAAAAA